AAUGAACGCUGGCGGCGUGCGUAACACAUGCAAGUCGAACGUGAAAGUCCCCUUCGGGGGAUGAGUAAAGUGGCAAACGGGUGAGUAACACGUGGGUAACCUGCCCUCUGGUGGGGGAUAACCCUGCGAAAGCGGGGCUAAUACCGCAUAACAAGUCGCUAAAUAAUUAGUCGACUUCAAAGCCUUCGGGCGCUAGAGGAGGGGCCCGCGUCCCAUUAGCUAGUUGGUAGGGUAACGGCCUACCAAGGCUGCGAUGGGUAGCCGGCCUGAGAGGGUGUCCGGCCACACUGGAACUGAGACACGGUCCAGACUCCUACGGGAGGCAGCAGUGGGGAAUUUUGCGCAAUGGGCGAAAGCCUGACGCAGCGACGCCGCGUGGGUGAUGAAGUUCUUCGGAACGUAAAGCCCUGUCAGGAGGGACGAAGCUCUGACGGUACCUCCAAAGGAAGCCCCGGCUAACUCCGUG
rnacentral:rRNA from 1 species